GAGGAGGAGGAGGAGGAGGAGGAGGAGGAGGAGGGAGUGUUUUCAUCACCGCUUCAAAGGAAGAGGAGCCUGAAAGGACGCAUUCUGCCGCUCCAUUGAUGUACUAAAGCUCUGUUCUAGAAGGGAAUUCUCUCAUGUGAACUUUAACUUCUGACUAACUUUGUUCCAAACAUGAAAUAAAUAAUGUGAACUUUCAGCCUUUUUUGUUGGCUCCAUCUUGUGGCGGUCGGGCAGAACGUUUCCCAACAAGAGGAGGAGGAGGAGGAGGAGGAGGAGGGCCUUCAUCCCUCCACUUGUUUGGGUGGCUGUCAGCCAGACAACACUUUUUAUGUUUUCUGGUGUUCUGAAAUGUACGAGUCGGUUGCAUAACGAGGCCUCGCCGCAGUCCGACCACAUCAGCAGGAUUUCAGCUCCUUAACGAGCCUCAGGCCGACCGAUCCCACGUUAGUAGAGCUGCAGUUAGACUGAGCAACACACCGAUCUGUUUAUAAAACUACAACAGCUUUUCUAUGCACGGACACCAUACGCCGUAGAUACACCCUGUGCACGACUUAGAGGGGCUCUAAGAUCAGCUAGUUGCUCUACAUUAGUAAAAGUUGCUCUGCUUUAGUUAAAGUUGCUCAAUAUUAAAGUUGCUCUACAUUAUUUAAAGUUGCUCUACAUUAGUUAAAGUUGCUCAAUAUUAAAGUUGCUCUACAUUAGUUAAAGUUGCUCUAUAUUAAAGUUGUUCUUUAUUAGCUGAAGUUACUCUAUAAUAGUUAAGGUUGCUCUGUAUUAAAGUUGCUCUAUAUUAGUUAAAGUUGCUCUAUAUUAAAGUUGCUCUACAUUAGUUAAAGUUGCUCUAUAUUAAAGUUGUUCUUUAUUAGCUGAAGUUACUCUAUAAUAGUUAAGGUUGCUCUGUAUUAAAGUUGCUCUAUAUUAGUUAAAGUUGCUCUAUAUUAAAGUUGCUCUAUAUUAGUUAAAGUUGCUCUAUAUUAAAGUUGUUCUUUAUUAGCUGAAGUUACUCUAUAAUAGUUAAGGUUGCUCUGUAUUAAAGUUGCUCUAUAUUAGUUAAAGUUGCUCUAUAUUAAAGUUGCUCUAUAUUAGUUAAAGUUGCUCUAUAUUAAAGUUGUUCUUUAUUAGCUGAAGUUACUCUAUAAUAGUUAAGGUUGCUCUGUAUUAAAGUUGCUCUACAUUAUUUAAAGUUGCUCUGCAUUAGUUAAAGUUGCUCAAUAUUAAAGUUGCUCUACAUUAUUUAAAGUUGCUCUGCAUUAGUUAAAGUUGCUCAGUAUUAAAGUUGCUCUACAUUAGUUAAAGUUGCUCUGCAUUAGUUAAAGUUGCUCAGUAUUAAAGUUGCUCUACAUUAGUUAAAGUUGCUCUGCAUUAGUUAAAGUUGCUCUAUAUUAAAGUUGCUCUACAUUAGUUAAAGUUGCUCUAUAUUAAAGUUGUUCUUUAUUAGCUGAAGUUACUCUAUAAUAGUUAAGGUUGCUCUGUAUUAAAGUUGCUCUAUAUUAGUUAAAGUUGCUCUAUAUUAAAGUUGCUCUACAUUAGUAAAAGUUGCUCUAUAUUAAAGUUGUUCUUUAUUAGCUGAAGUUACUCUAUAAUAGUUAAGGUUGCUCUGUAUUAAAGUUGCUCUAUAUUACUUAAAGUUGCUCUGUAUUAAAGUUGCUCUAUAUUACUUAAAGUUGCUCUAUAUUAAAGUUGCUCUACAUUAGUAAAAGUUGCUCUAUAUUAAAGUUGUUCUUUAUUAGCUGAAGUUACUCUAUAAUAGUUAAGGUUGCUCUGUAUUAAAGUUGCUCUAUAUUACUUAAAGUUGCUCUAUAUUAAAGUUGCUCUACAUUAGUAAAAGUUG